rnacentral:rRNA from 1 species
UACGGAGGAUGCGAGCGUUAUCCGGAUUCAUUGGGUUUAAAGGGUGCGUAGGCGGCCCGGUAAGUCAGCGGUGAAAGUUUGCGGCUCAACCGUAAAAUUGCCGUUGAUACUGUCGGGCUUGAGUUCAGAUGAAGUGGGCGGAAUGAGUAGUGUAGCGGUGAAAUGCUUAGAUAUUACUCAGAACACCGAUUGCGAAGGCAGCCCACUAAACUGCGACUGACGCUGAUGCACGAAAGCGUGGGGAUCGAAC